rnacentral:rRNA from 1 species
AUUUAGAGGAAGUAAAAGUCGUAACAAGGUUUCCGUAGGUGAACCUGCGGAAGGAUCAUUACUGAUUUGGCGAACCGAGCGUUAGCUUGGUUCUGCGAUCACUUUGUAUUUAAAACCCACACUUUUUUAAUGUAUAUAAUUUUUUAAAAUAUAAAAUUAAGAUCACUUUCAACAACGGAUCUCUUGGCUCUCGCAUCGAUGAAGAACGUAGCGAAGUGCGAUAAGUAAUGUGAAUUGCAGAAUUCCGUGAAUCAUCGAAUCUUUGAACGCAUAUUGCGCUCUCUGGUUUUCCAGGAGUAUGCCUGUUUGAGGGUCAGUUAAAUAAAAAUCGAGGUUGUUGCUGCCUUUUGUGGUGACGCUUCGGAAUUGGGUCGUCUUUGCCUUUGGUUAAGUGACCUAAAAUUUAAUAUGAUUUUCGAACGUAUUUAAAUCAUUUUACGUACGUUUGUGAUAAUCGAAUAUUAGGUGUGAUCAUUCUCAUGAUUUGCGCCCAUAAUUUUUCAUCAAUUGACCUCAAAUCAGGUAAGAGUACCCGCUGAACUUAAGCAUAUCAAUA